AAUCCAUGUGCCUAAUCCUUAACCACUGAGCAAAACCAGCUAGGUUACCCAUAAGGUUUUAUGCAAUGCUUUCCUUUGGAAUGAGGCACAUGGUAAUUUACUAUAUGAUCUUACAUAAGUUUCUGUACCUCUUUGAAUUUUGACUGUCUUGCCAAGGUUAUUGUGAUAUAAGAGGUGGAAAAUGUGUAAAGCUCUCUGUGCCUCUAGGUGCUGGAUAUGAAUAAACAGCAUAUGUUUUGAA